GAUGAAGAACGUAGCGAAAUGCGAUAAGUAAUGUGAAUUGCAGAAUUCAGUGAAUCAUCGAAUCUUUGAACGCACAUUGCGCCCUCUGGUAUUCCGGGGGGCAUGCCUGUUCGAGCGUCAUUACAACCCUCAAGCUUUGCUUGGUAUUGGACAUUGUCAGUUUCUGGCAGGUCUUAAAAUCAGUGGCGGUGCCAUUUGGCUUCAAGCGUAGUAAUUCUUCUCGCUUUGGAGAUCCAAGUGGUUACUUGCCAAUAACCCCCAAUUUUUUCAGGUUGACCUCGGAUCAGGUAGGGAUACCCGCUGAACUUAAGCAUAUCAAUAAGCGGAGGA
rnacentral:misc_RNA from 1 species